CCUACGGGAGGCAGCAGUGGGGAAUAUUGCGCAAUGCGGGAAACCGUGACGCAGCGACGCCGCGUGAGGGAAGAAGGCCUUCGGGUUGUAAACCUCUUUCAGGAGGGAAGCGGUACCUUCAGAAGAAGCCCCGGCUAACUACGUGCCAGCAGCCGCGGUAAUACGUAGGGGGCAAGCGUUGUCCGGAUUCAUUGGGCGUAAAGAGCGUGUAGGCGGUUAGGUAGGUCAGUUGUGAAAACUGGAGGCUCAACCUUCAGACGUCGACUGAAACCCCUGGCUAGAGUCCGGGAGAGGAGAGUGGAAUUCCUGGUGUAGCGGUGGAAUGCGCAGAUAUCAGGAAGAACACCCGUGGCGAAAGCGGCUCUCUGGAACGUCUGACGCUGAGACGCGAAAGCGUGGGGAGCGAACAGGAUUAGAUACCCUUGUAGUC
rnacentral:rRNA from 1 species